UUUUGUUGUGUGUUCUGGUUGUCUCACGUCAUGCACAUGGAACAGCCAGGUGUGGUACCUUUUAAACUGCUGUCUAAUGCUCGUCAUUUGGAAAAGGGCUCUGAAGAGCUGCAGGGAAACUUGAGCAAAUCAUCCACAGGAUUUGGCUAUGGUGUCCGCUAAGAUGAUUGUGAAAUCUCUCCUUGUCCUUUAUUUUGUGAUGGCAUCAGUGGAAUCCACAAAGCAAUGUUUGUCACGUCGAUGUCUGGCUAAUGAUUUCAUUGAAAAGCAACUCUAUAGUGCUCCACA